CGUGCGUCACCACCUGGUAACCACGCAACUACCAACAAUGGCCCCUGGCAUGCCCUUACUCGAGUCCACGAGCAAUGCACCCAGUGCCCCGGCUCCGGCCCCGGCCGGCGAACACAAAACGAACACAUACAACCGCCGACCCCCGUCAGAGCCAAACUCGUACCGCGCACCGAACGGACUCUCGAGGCGACACUCGGAGAUUCCGUUUGCGACCGGGUUGCGAAUACGUGACCGCUACUGAGGUGAUCGGACACAAACAUACAACAAACGAAUAGAGACAGCACAAACACAUAAUGGCUUCUAGAGUCCCCUUACCCGAGUUUCUACCGAACUUCAUUAACUUCAUCAAAACCAAUCUCGGCUGAUGCGUGACCUUCUAAAACUUCUUCAUAAAAAUGUGACUUAACUCGAUACUAUGAAUCGAAACAAACCAAUAAUAUCAAAAUUAUUGUUUAACUACAACUUUCCAGUAUCAAAACCAGUAAAACUGACAUUUCACAAACAUAGUUACUCACAAAAUAAUUAUUCUAACAAGAAACUUAAUGCAUUCAAGCUUUACAAGUGAUCACGGCUACGCACAGUUCAGUAACACACAGUUAGUCAUUUUCUCUCGCGUAAACCCCACAUGGGAAUACCGAGUCUCUCCUAGACUACAUGGUUUCCACUGAAACCCUCAUUAACAAACAUCUUUUUAACUAUAAUCAAACACAGGUUCUACUACCUUCAACUACUCUAAUAAUCUACCCUCUAAGGUAUCUGCUAUUUGAACUACUUUAUCUGAAUUAUGUCAGUUGAACUUUGAUUCGUCGGCAUAUUUUUCUAAGUACCUACGUGUACGUGAGUGUGUGUACAUGAUGUAAGUGUGAGUAUGUACUUGUGAGUAAAGACCCAACAGCCAUGUUCCUCACGGGUGCGGUCUCAAUGCGAGUUUGUGCAGACCCAUCACCACACGGUUCUCAUGUGUGCGGUCCGAGUGUGAGUGCGUGCAUAGACCCAUCGCCUCAUGUUCCUCAUGAGUGCGGUCCGGUGUGUACACUGACCAUCGCCUCAUGCUCCUCAUGAGCGCGGUCCAUUGUGCCAGACCCAGCGCCACAUGUUACUCAUGCGGUGCGGUCCACAGUGUCGAGUGUUAAGGGCAUGAGUGUGAAUGAUGAGUGUUGAGUACAAGUAGUAACGAUGUGUAUAGGAAAUUCUACCACUUACAUUUCACAAAAUUCUCGAGGAACCUGGUGAUCAGAUAUCCUCCUCAUCCUUAUUCGUCAGAACUGUACUGUAACUAUUCAAAACUAUUCAAUUUAGAUGCACAGUCAAAAUAAAAUGCCGAACCAGCGCUUAAACAACCAGUUACCCACAGCUACAACUACAAUACUCAUAAUGGUAAAAAGGUAACAAAUGUCGGUAACACCUUUUAAAAUAAUUUUCAAUGUACCUACAUCUUGCAUACAGAAUUAAAGUAAUCCAUGUUCUUACUAUGAAAUCAAUUCUCAAAACAUGAAAUGUUUAAUAUCAUCGUACCGUCACUAUAAAAUAUAGACGCACUAUGAAAUUGAAAUACUGAGUUAUCUCGUAACUCCGCGGUUUUCUUUACUUGGCAAAACUCGACUUGAUCGAUUACAUCUGGACUAGACGUCUAACAUUAUCUACGUACUAAAAUGUAAACUAAAAUGGAAACAUUUCUCAUGUCUAGGUACCCUCAAUCAAAAUUAAAUUAAAUUAUUAGUAAUCAACAUCGAAUGUUUUGCGGUUACCACAUGAUAGUCACUCGCAAGGACUCCCAAGUCAGCUACGACUGUAGUUUCAUGUUAUAGACUCGAGCCUCUGUCACUGUAAUGCAUUCACGGUGCAGUAAAAUAAAUCAGAAUCUUUGUUCCCUAGACUUACUACCUACAAUUAAGACUAAAUAUAACACACUAAUCCCAAAAAUUAGAUCACGGUAAACCAAUCAUCAGUUUGCUCAGGACUUUAGAAGACGUUUCGCAUCUAACUUCAAUCACGAAUAGCAACUUAGCAACUGUUGACCCUGCUUUAUUAAAAACUAUCUUUCUCAAUGUUCUGUACGACGAUAGAUCGCAGGCGCAUAAUUAUUUAAAUCUACCUCAACGUUGUGGAAAUCGAAUUCCCAACUAAACAAAAUCAAAGAUUAUUUGAGAUAUCACGUAUCCUAACAAUACACAACCCGAAACAACAUAAUCAGAUGUCAUUCUAAUGAAUUUUCAUAAUCUCGGAUCUAAAACAUCACGACUUAGUUUUUAUUAUGACUACCCGACAAAAGUAAAAUAAUACUUCUGAUCGCAAAAUCAACAAUCCUAAACAGGAAACGCUGACUCAUUUUCAUCCAAUAAAGUAUUUGGUAUCAGAAUCAUAAUAAAAGGAACAAGGUCACCUGAAUAUUCCCGAUGAUGCAGUGUCCAACUGCAGACAUCAAUACGCUUCUCACCAUACGCCGCGCUUACGCUGCGUCACCUGGCCUGCUGCCGCUGCCACCGCGCGCCCUGGUCCGCUGCCGCUGUCGCCGCGUCCCCAGGUCUGCUGCCGUCGCCGCGUUCCCUGGUCCGCUACCGUCGCCGCGUCCCCUGGUCCGCUGCCGUCGCCGCGUCCCCUGGUCCACUGUCGUCGCCGCGUCCCCUGGUCCACUGUCGUUGCCGCGUCCCCUGGUCCGCUGCCGCUGUCACCGUUGCUCGUGUACCAGAUGACGAUGUGCUGUGCUGGGGUUGGAUUUGAAUGCACUCCAAGCUGAGCCUUGCAUCGCAGUCUUCUUUGUUGGGGUCGAAUGCAAGUAGUUCUCGAUGAAUCAGCUCCGAUGAUUUCAACAUCUUCAAUCGUCCGGGUCCAUCUCACUUCUGAUGUCGGAGAUAGGAGAUCUCUCACUUUCGAUAUGUCGGUGAAAGGAGAAUCUCACUACUCAUGUCAGGAAUACUUGUGGGCGUUAUGACGAAGGUAGCAGUAAAAUAAUAAAGUCUUCGAUAUGGAA